rnacentral:lncRNA from 1 species
CCAGGCUCCACUUCAAAGGGCAAAGCCAACAGACCAUCCUAGAGGCGGUGGCUGCUCAACGAUGCCCAGUGCCAACCAUCUAGAUUUGAAAGCAGAAAGCUUCACUAUUAACCAAGGUCAUGACCGCUCGACAGGUUGUGAAAUCUGAAGUUGGGGAGAGGUGCCAGUCCCCAUUCUAAGACGGUCCUGUAAAGUUCCAGGCUAGCCUGCGCUAUGACUGAGACCAUGUCUCGAAUGAGCAAGCAAACAAAAGAAACCCUGAAGCCAGUCUUACCCCCCUACUGCCCUCCCAGGGGUUAGAAAAGAGGCCCUGCCUCAGAUAAGCCACCUGCGCUUGCUCUGCAUGUCAUAUGUCUCGGCUUUGGAGGAUGCCCCCUGGCUUACUUGCUGCAGUUGUACAUCGCUGUGUGGAGGCUGCCCCACGCCAUGACUGUACACUCCACUCUUUACCAACUCAUGCCUGGAUUUCAUGGAGAUG